UCAUUGGUCCUGCCACUGUUGGGGGAAUCCAAGCAGGAGCUUUUAAGAUAGGCGAUACAGCAGGAACAAUCGACAAUAUAAUUCAAUGCAAGCUCUAUAGACCUGGAUCUGUUGGUUUUGUCUCUAAAUCGGGUGGGAUGUCAAAUGAGCUUUACAAUACAAUUGCACGUGUAACUGAUGGAAUUUAUGAAGGCAUUGCAAUUGGCGGAGAUGUUUUUCCUGGUUCAACACUUUCUGAUCAUGUCAUUCGGUUUAAUAAUAUUCCUCAGGU